rnacentral:rRNA from 1 species
UACGGGGGGGGCAAGCGUUGUUCGGAAUCACUGGGCGUAAAGGGUGCGUAGGCGGGUCUUUAAGUCAGGGGUGAAAUCCUGGAGCUCAACUCCAGAACUGCCUUUGAUACUGAGGAUCUUGAGUUCGGGAGAGGUGAGAGGAACUGCGAGUGUAGAGGUGAAAUUCGUAGAUAUUCGCAAGAACACCAGUGGCGAAGGCGGCUCACUGGCCCGAUACUGACGCUGAGGCACGAAAGCGUGGGGAGCAAACAGG